rnacentral:lncRNA from 1 species
CAACUCAAGUUGGUCAUUUCUGUAUCGAUAAGUAAUUAUAUCUUAAGAAGAAACCAAGAAAAAGCGAAAAGCGUUUUGAGUGCUGGAAGGAAAGAAAGGUAAAGGAAAAAGGCUCAAGUUUCCCAUGCAAUUAACAUAGAAAUGACUCACUAUUCAAGUCGUCAUCCCAUAAAGUGCCCACCUUUCUAAUAGCGACAACAAAAACACAGUAAACUAAGGAUUGGCUUCAUGAUUUGUUUCACCUCUCCUUUGGUUGCUAUGUCUAGAUUAAUUCCUUUAGGUUAUUAACUAUAACUAGAUACCAAAACUUCAAUUACAAUUCAAGCAUUCGUUAAUUCGAAGAGUUAAUAAUUAUAAAGCAAACAAAACAGCAAAUUAAAAAGAAUCAGAGACGGAAAGGGAGGGAAAAUGGAACCUGGGCGCCUUCUUUUUCAAUUGGUUCGAAUCUUCAACCAAGUCUGUUUCAUACAGAAUAUCAACUUAAACUGCAAUACUUUUCUCUGUACAUACACAGGACACGAUAAGAACACAAGAGGGUUUCCAGUUUAAUUGAACAGGAAAGUAAAUGAAAACGGCUAAAAAUAAAGAAGAAAUUACCAACAACCCAUGAAACACCAUUGAUUUUGCGUUUACGAAUUCAAGUAAUAAGCGUAAGCCCAUAGUUUCAAAUCACAUGACUUCAUGUCUCUUACGCAAGCGAGUUGCGGUGAUGAAAUCAUCACUGACAUCACAUGCUGCGUCAUCGAACAAUUAAACAUUAACAUUUAUGAAUAUUAUAGGUCGGCAGGGCAUUGGACAGUGAGGAUCUGACUGUUUUGGCAGAAUACUACGUUUUUGAUACGGAAGAGCAUCGGCACAGCCGAUGAGCUUUUUCUUUCCAACCCAGCUACACGCAGUCGGUGUACAAGCCCAGCUUUUUCUUUCCAGCCCAGAUCCGAUCAUUAAUUCGGUGUGGACCCCUCUCCUCACGUGACAAGAGUAUAUGACCUUUUAUUUUUUAUUUUUUUUUAUCUUUUUCUAACGAGCAAUUCAAACAUGUUACAGGAGCAGGCUCAUUGAUGGCAGAUAAUUGCCAAUCAAAAGCUACUAACUCAUUCCCCGUAAAUAAACCCAUAAAAUAUGACCAAACUUUUAUCAAGGUUCACAAAUUGUGACCACCCGAUUUUUGAAAAAAAUAAAAAUAAAAAUAAAAAUCCCUGAGUUUGUUAAUUUUGAAAAUAUAACUUCAAACCUUUGUAGUUAUGUAAUUAUUUUUCUUAUUUUGAUUAUUUUACAAUAAAUUUUAUAACACAAUGUGUUAUACUUCGUAAAAUUGUGUAACGUUCCACCACCCUUAUUUUUGUCGUCGUUGUUGUUACUAUCACUUAUAACAGUUAUUGACAUUUUACCACCUAUUUCAUACAAUUUCAACCGUCAGUCACCCCAACUUAUAAUAUUUAACGUUACAUCACCACUUGCAACAUUUAUCUAUCAUGUAGUUAAAUAAUCUAGAAUGAUGAGAUAUUAUAGCCUUUGAUUGAUCCUUAUUAUUUUUAAAAUACAUUUUCCCUCUUUUCUUUUCAAACACACAUUUAAUAAAAUAAUAUUACACGUAAACGCAAAACAUUUUUUUAUUUUCUACUCACACAUUCUACAUCAAUAUAUCAAUCUAAAAUGCAUUCUUGGCCAAAUAAUAAGGUUCAACAAAGAGCAUAAAAACCACGCGUUUUUUGGUUUAUGAUGAAAAAAUAAACUCCAAAAUUCCUAUACCAGAAGUAAAAUAUCAUCUGGUGACAAACAUAAUUAGAGCAAUCAGAGAAACAAAAGGAGGACAUCAGCUAAUAAAAUUCACUUCUUGUCACAAUCCGUGUGAUGCAGUGAGGCGAGCACGAAAAUAAAGCAGCAAUCUAGAGGCCAAAUAGCAAUUUUAGUUCUUGAAAAGUUCCAAACAGUGUUCCUGGUCAAGGUUCCGACUCCAGAACUUCUUGUAAUACUCCGCGUAUGUGAAAUCCCGAUAAAUGGAUGGAGAUCCAUCGUUUAUAAGAUCCUUUGGUGCAACGAUCAUUGCACUAUCACACGGGCAGAGGAAGGAAGCUACUGACAAUCUUGCUUUAUCUGAAUUUACUAUAGCUCGAUGCCAAACACUUCUAUAUUUUCCAUUACUCAGCGCCUGGAGAAAAUCAUUCUUAGUUAUCAUCCAAAUCCAUAUUAUAAGCAUUAAAGACCAUAUUAUAUGGUUUUCCAGUAGCCUCAUAUUCAAACGAUCGGAUGGGAUAUUAGAUAUCCUUGCACGUUUUUAGCUUCCAUGCACAUGGUAAAGUAUUGUUUCUCAUCGACACCACACAUUCUAUGAGAAUAAUCCAUCUUCUAAAGGAGACUGACAAAGAAAUAUUAUAAAAGAACCGAUUUUUUGUCGUUCAAUAGGUUAACAGAAUGUAUCAAGUGCUUUAGUUAUGACACAAAUUGCUGGUUUCAUGCACUCUCUUCAUGACCAAAUGCAUUCGUAUUCCAGCUAUAUUCUAUUUCUUACAUUACCACAAUGAAACUAUGCAAAGGUUUUUCAUCACUGGUCCCAAGCCCCCGGGAGAAAGGGGGAUAAAGGGGGAGACGGUUCCAGUAUGUUGAAGUCGCUGUAAAACAUUGUCAAAUCUAAUGACAUGAUUCCUAAUAAACAUUUCAUUGCAAUGACCCAGAAUAGCAUCUUCCACAAAAUUUAGCAAUGAACCAACGAAUGACAGAAAAUAAUUCAUACAGCCGAUCCCGAAAUUUUUGAGAAUUAAGGCUUAAUUUAUUGUUUGUAGUAUUAGAACAAUGCACAAGUUACUAUAUCAGUAAUUUAUUUUCCUAGCACCAAAGAUAAACCUUACCUGCAACUGAUCACCAAUAUUGAUGACAAAAGCAUCCGGGUGGGGUUUUAUUGCUAACCAUUUGCCAUCCAUCAGAACUUGAAGACCCGCAACUAGCAAGUCUUGAAGGAGAAUGGUUAGGGCAUUGGGAUCCGUAUGUGCUGGCAAUCCAUAAGUUAGUUCGGGUUCUGGGCAUGGUGGAUAGUAGUUGACGGCCAUGUGUUGCCCUUGUUCUCCCAACACAUUCUUGAGGCUCUCUUUUUCUAAUCCAAGGCUCUCUGCUAUUAACUCCUGCAAUCUGAACCCGAGAUGUCGAACUUCCAUACAAUAAUUGCUGGCAAUAUCCCUACAAAUUACAAGAAAUAUGUCAUUAUAUUCUUUUGCAUGCAACAAAGAUGGCUUCCUAAAGAUGAUACAGUUGGUGAUCGAGGAACGGAUCAAAGAAUUAUAGGAACAGCUUUUGUAGAUCUACAUCCUUGGAUUGCUUGUCGAUGCAUCACGCUAAAAGGAAAAAAGCUAACUUGUUUAUCAAAUAAAGCGUUAUUAAAACGAAUAGCCUUUAAAAUUUAUAUAGGGAACACGCAGAAGGCAUGAAUAUGAUUUGGGUACCUUUUUGUUAAAAGUUUUAUUUUCUUAUAGACUCCUAGGAGCUUAGUCAUAAUAGUACACGAUCUAGGCUGACCAUGUUAGGAGAGGGAAAGGAAAACCAAAACUAACAUGAUUAGUCGUACUCUCUAAGGAUUUGAUAGCUUUGAAUCUCCAGGCAACGAACAACAAAGCGGUGGAAAAGGAUUCAAGUAGCAGUUCCCAAAUUUCUGGGAAACGAGGCUUAGUAUGUUGUUGCAAAUUUAAUGGGUACCUUUUAUAUUGUUUAAACUCGAGGCUACAUAUUUAUUCCAUUUAAGAAGAUUCCUAGUUAUAAUCUCGUGGACUAUUGAUAUCGAGAUACAAGUAAUUUUGGAAAGGAAAUAGUUGCCUUGUUGCUUACUUAAAAGAAGAGGGAGUGGUAGGCCACUCGGGUACAUAUUUCUCUAAUGGAUAGCAGUGAAGCCUGAGAUAAUCUCUCCAAUUAUGAACAGUCUCCUUCUUCACAUUAAAACUUGUAGACAAUCUCACUGUCUUGGACGGGUCAUCAGAGUACAACUUCAUUUUCUCUUCCACCGGUAAACUAAAAAAUUCAUGACCCACUGCUAGCAUUUUCUGGAUUGUUUCCUUAGAUACUCCAUGAUUGAUCACCUGAAAACAAAUGUACAACAGCAAAUUACGAAAAAACUGUAGAGACUUUCAGAUAAGCUUAAACAGUAAAAAGUAAAUAUGUAAGUCUUAAAAAAAUAUUUUAUUGGUCAAAAUUGGAAAUAAAUAUUGCUACAUAUUUUGACAGCAAGUUAAGAGUUAAUUCAGAAAUGCCUUUCUAGCAUAAGAAAUAAGUAUGUCAUCCAAAUAUGUUUUGGCGAUAAAAAGUUACUCAAAAGUAACUCCUUUUAGCCUAGCCAAGCACAUAUAUGUUGCUCUAAGCAUCAACACACAUGAUGGUAGCUAAAGAAGAUGGUCGAACAUGGUCAAAUAACCUGAAAAAAGCCGUAUUCGCAACAUGCAUCGCCUAUUUGUUUGAUUAUUAGGCUCCUGUCUCCACAACCCAAGUCAAUCACAGGAACAUUCUCACAGUCGGCAACUUCAGAUAACCUCGGCCUUUCAGAUUGAGGACGGAUGUAACUUCUAGGGAGGCUUGAGUGUCGGAUUCCACUGGAGAUAACCUUCGCUUCCAUGGAUUCCAGUCUCUGAAUUACUGGAAAAAGGGAACAGACCAGUUAAGAUGCAACGUUGCUGUAAGGCUUUGGCAACUUCAACGAAGGUAUAAUAAGCUGCACGAUGCACCAAUGAUUUUCCACAUUCCUGGCUGCCUAAACAUUGUAAACAUGUCAUUUAUUUACCAAAAGACUGGAAUAUAAAUAUAUUAAAAGUAAGGGUAUACAGUAAAAUUCUUUAAAAUAUUUCUAGACAUUGUAAACAAAUUAAUCAUUUUCCAAACAGCGUAAUAAGAAUACAGUAAAAGUAAACAUCUCCAGUAAAAUUGCUUACAAAUUUUGCACUUCUUCAAAUCGAUAACAAAAAAAUGCUAGGGGUAAAGGUAAAAGGUUAACACAGAGAUCUCUAUAACGUAGAAAGUGUACACUUACACCUGCACACCCUUCCAAACACUAACAACAUAAAAUUUUGAUUCCAAGGGAAAAUCACAGUGGUGGUCCGCAACGCAUUGAAUCUGUGAAAACAGGUUCCCUGCCCUUAUUUCUUGUCAUAUAUAAUAUAAUAGUCAUCCUUUCGUUUGGUCCCCAGUGAAAGGAAAGUAGGAAGCCAUAAAUUUUCAGCAUUAAAUGUACUUUCAGCAUUAAAAUGCCACUUGCAAAAGUGCUGUUUUCAUGUAAAAUGGGUAAUCAGAAAUAAUUUUGUUGAAACAAGAAACAAAUAGGGAAAUGAUAGGAAUCAAAAAGGGAAAAGAAAUAACUGCAUCCAAACCACCAGCCGUGUCCGGCUGUCCCACCAUGCCCCCUGCAAGAGAUAUAGGUGUGGGUAUGCAGAAUUGGGGUUAGGGAGAUUUUGUUUUAUAAUCCCCCUUCCUUUUCCUUUUUUGAUUUUCCAUUUCUAUUUCUCUUUCAGUUGAAAAUAAAGAUAAAAUCGUCCCUCCUGCAAAAAAAAAUGUUGUCUUACAUUCAAAUGGACGAACGCCAUCUACUACUACUACCAGGGACCAAGUUGCUACAAACUUGUAAAGUUGAGGAUUACCUCACAACAAUGCCCAUAGGUCGGCUUUCAUUUUAAAAAUAAUCAUGAAGCUGACAUUGACAAUAUCAUGACAGUAACUUACAAAUUUAUGCAAUGGACAGAGAAAAAUUUACGAGUUAAUCGUAUCUCCAACACGAAAUUUGAUACAAAAUAUUUAAAGCAGCCAAGCACUAAUUCUGAAGAACUGGGCUAGCAAGAAUAAAACUUUCACGGUACUUUGAUCUGCAAUCUUUUGAGCUUAAGGCAGUGAGAUUAUCCAGCCGACCUGUCUCAAUUUAAAAAACCGUACCACCGUCCAACCAGAACCAUCCUUCUAUCAUUCUCCUAGCCUCCCAAACUUCGAAUUUCCACUCGACCAUCAAUAAGUAAACCAGCAGAACAAUCAAAUCCAAUACAAUGUAUAAUAUCGCUUAAUAUUUUAUAGAGCUAUACAAUGUCAGCAAGGGUGCCAGUAAUAUAAUGUGUAGAUGUUGUUCACUUGUUCCCAGCAACUGUAGUAGAUAAGGUGAAUCCAAUAGGUGAACUUAGCUAAAUGAGCUAACUAGCCCAUUAAACAAAUUGUCUUAAGAUUUAUGGUGUACUCGUAAAUCAUAUAGAAAAAGGAUCAAACAGAACAGUUUUCUGUAAUCAAACAACAAAUCUACUGAUUAAUAAAAAUUAAUAACUCGUAUCAUGCCCUUUAUCAUUUAGAGUAAAUUUCUAGCAGAAAUUGUUAAGGGCAAAUCCUACAUCGGUUAGUAAAGUACAAAAAUAUUAACCAACUGCUAUUCUUCUUAAGACGUUGAUGUUUUAAGAUGGAACUUGUACGGUAGGUUAAACUCAAGUUGGUCAUUUCUGUAUCGAUAAGUAAUUAUAUCUUAAGAAGAAACCAAGAAAAAGCGAAAAGCGCUUUUGAGUGCUGGAAGGAAAGAAAGGUAAAGGAAAAAGGCUCAACUUUCCCAUGCAAUUAACAUAGAAAUGACUCACUAUUCAAGUCGUCAUCCCAUAAAGUGCACACCUUUCUAAUAGCGACAACAAAAACACUGUAAACUAAGGAUUGGCUUCAUGAAUUUGUUUCACCUCUCCUUUGGUUGCUAUGUCUAGCUUAAUUCCAUUAGGUUGUUAACUAUAACUAGAUACCAAAACUUCAAUUACAAUUCAAGCAUUCGUUAAUUCGAAGAGUUAAUAAUUACAAAGCAAGCAAAACAGCAAAUUAAAAAGAAUCAGAG